rnacentral:rRNA from 1 species
AGUGAACGCUGGCGGUAGGCCUAACACAUGCAAGACGAACGGCAGCACGGGAGAGCUUGCUCUCUGGGUGGCGAGUGGCGGACGGGUGAGGAAUACAUCGGAAUCUACUCUGUCGUGGGGGAUAACGUAGGGAAACUUACGCUAAUACCGCAUACGACCUACGGGUGAAAGCAGGGGACCUUCGGGCCUUGCGCGAUUGAAUGAGCCGAUGUCGGAUUAGCUAGUUGGCGGGGUAAAGGCCCACCAAGGCGGCGAUCCGUAGCUGGUCUGAGGGGAUGAUCAGCCACACUGGAACUGAGACACAGUCCAGACUCCUACGGGAGGCAGCAGUGGGGAAUAUUGGACAAUGGGCGCAAUCCUGAUCCAGCCAUACCGCGUGUGUGAAGAAGGCCUUCGGGUUGUAAAGCCCUUUUGUUGGGAAAGAAAUCCAGCUGGCCAAUACCCGGUUGGGAUGACGGUACCCAAAGAAUAAGCACCGGCUAACUUCGUGCCAGCCGCCGCGGUAA